rnacentral:rRNA from 1 species
GUUUGAUCAUGGCUCAGAUUGAACGCUGGCGGAAUACUUUACACAUGCAAGUCGAACGGCAGCACGGGAGCUUGCUCCUGGUGGCGAGUGGCGAACGGGUGAGUAAUGCGUCGGAACGUACCGAGUAAUGGGGGAUAACGCAGCGAAAGUUGUGCUAAUACCGCAUACGCCCUGAGGGGGAAAGUGGGGGAUCGCAAGACCUCACGUUAUUCGAGCGGCCGACGUCUGAUUAGCUAGUUGGUGGGGUAAUGGCCUACCAAGGCGACGAUCAGUAGCGGGUCUGAGAGGAUGAUCCGCCACACUGGGACUGAGACACGGCCCAGACUCCUACGGGAGGCAGCAGUGGGGAAUUUUGGACAAUGGGGGCAACCCUGAUCCAGCCAUUCCGCGUGAGUGAAGAAGGCCUUCGGGUUGUAAAGCUCUUUCAGCUGGAACGAAACGGUACGCUCUAACAUAGCGUGCUAAUGACGGUACCAGCAGAAGAAGCACCGGCUAACUACGUGCCAGCAGCCGCGGUAAUACGUAGGGUGCGAGCGUUAAUCGGAAUUACUGGGCGUAAAGCGUGCGCAGGCGGAUUGUUAAGCAAGACGUGAAAUCCCCGGGCUUAACCUGGGAAUGGCGUUUUGAACUGGCAGUCUAGAGUGUGUCAGAGGGGGGUGGAAUUCCACGUGUAGCAGUGAAAUGCGUAGAGAUAUGGAGGAACACCGAUGGCGAAGGCAGCCCCCUGGGAUAACACUGACGCUCAUGUACGAAAGCGUGGGUAGCAAACAGGAUUAGAUACCCUGGUAGUCCACGCCCUAAACGAUGUCAACUGGUUGUUGGGGGAGUGAAAUCCCUUAGUAACGAAGCUAACGCGUGAAGUUGACCGCCUGGGGAGUAC